rnacentral:RNase_P_RNA from 1 species
CAGGCUGACCGGGCGGUCGCCGGUUUUCGGGCCGGAGGAAAGUCCGCACUCCACAGGGCGCGGUGCUGGCUAACUGCCAGGCGCGGUAACGCGACGGCAAGUGCAACAGAGAACGGAUUGCCCCCGUCCGGGGGUGAGGGUGAAAAGGUGGUGCAAGAGACCACCGGCGUCGGCAGUGAUGUCGGCGGCCAGGCAAACCCCACCGGGAGCAAGACCAGACAGGCGCAGAGGGGUGGCCCGCCCCGCAGGCAGCGCCGGGUAGGUCGCUUGAUCCCGCGAGGCAACUGGCGGGACAGAUAGAUGACCGUCGCCCCGCAAGGGGAACAGAAUGCGGCUUACAGGUCAGCCUGGCCU